rnacentral:rRNA from 1 species
UACGUAGGGGGCAAGCGUUGUCCGGAAUCAUUGGGCGUAAAGAGCUCGUAGGCGGCCUGUCGCGUCUGCUGUGAAAUCCCGGGGCUUAACCCCGGGCGUGCAGUGGAUACGGGCUGGCUGGAGGCAGGCAGGGGAGAACGGAAUUCCCGGUGUAGCGGUGAAAUGCGCAGAUAUCGGGAGGAACACCGGUGGCGAAGGCGGUUCUCUGGGCCUGUACUGACGCUGAGGAGCGAAAGCGUGGGGAGCGAACAGG